rnacentral:rRNA from 1 species
GACGAAGGGGGCUAGCGUUGUUCGGAAUUACUGGGCGUAAAGCGUGCGUAGGCGGUUCGUUAAGUCCGUUGUGAAAGCCCUGGGCUCAACCUGGGAAUGGCAGUGGAUACUGGCGAGCUAGAGUGUGAUAGAGGAUGGUGGAAUUCCCGGUGUAGCGGUGAAAUGCGUAGAGAUCGGGAGGAACACCAGUGGCGAAGGCGGCCAUCUGGAUCAACACUGACGCUGAGGCACGAAAGCGUGGGUAGCAAACAGG